CAGCAACCUCGCAACAUGGAAGGGUCUAGGUCUCACUCGGACAUCCAGGCAGGAGAGGAGUUGACACCGAGCCGCGUCAGUGAGGAGGGCCAAGUUCCGGCUGACUUUCUUGGAGCGGAACCUGAGCCCACGCUCGGGAGGCGCGCCCUAUCCCGGAGGCCGGAGAGGAGGAAGACGCCCGUGGCUCUUACGGAUUCCCCCGGCUCCCCUGCUCUGCUCUGUGGCUCCGACACGCCGCCGGUCCCAGCCCCGAGGUUAGUGGCCUUGAGAUUUUGCUUUGCUUUUGAGAUUUGAACUGAGGCCUUGUUCGGAUGUGAAAAAAUUUUGGAUUUCGCUACUGUAGCACUUUCGUUUGUUUGUGGUAAAUAUUGUCCAAUCAUAGACUAACUAGGGUCAAAAGAUUCGUCUCGCGAUUUACAGUCAAACUGUGUGAUUAGUUUUUAUUUUCGUCUAUAUUUAAUGUUUCAUGCAUAUGCCGCAAGAUUCGAAGUGACAGGAAAUCUUAAAAAAAUUUUGGAUUUCGAGGUGAACUAAACAAGGCCUGAUUACAAGCUAGCUUGCCGUGUUGAAUUUGCUUUCCUAUGUGAGAACUGUGCAGCUGGCUAGGAUUAUAGUGUUGGUUUUCGAAACUACAUGGUGGGGAAGAGAAUGCAGGUUAUUGGACAGAGAAAAAUAAUCAAGCUAGCUUUUUUUUGGGAGAAUGUACACAUGUUGAGAACUCCAUGAACUGGUCUGGCUGCUGGCUUCUAAUAAACAUCAAGGGCUGCACGUGCUUUGGGUCGAACGAUACCUCGUGAAAUUCUAUACUGUGCAGUUUUAAAUAUUUUUAGUUAUAUUUCAGUCUAAAAAUCCAUGUAUGGCUUGUAGCACUAGAGAAAGAAAGUAGGGGCAUAUAGAGACAGUGAUGUUUGUUUCCCAUCUUCCACCAGCUCUGUUGCUCUUGUUUUUUCUCUGGUAGGAUAAUAAUUAUGUUAUGACAUGGUUUGUCGCUACGAGUGGUAUUCAACAUUUUAGUCUUGUCAAUGGCCUGCAAGUUUUUUUUAAAUGUUUGAUGAUGUUUAUGUUCAAUUCUCUCUGUUUGGUGUACUGGAUCUGCUGCGACGUACUUUCAGUAUGAGGGAAGUAGGGAGCAGCCUACCUGUCGAGUGAGGAGAGUGCAUGGGUUCACAAUGCUUCAGGUUUAUAAAAUGCUGUUUACAUGGCCCAUUCCAAAUAAAACGGUUUACUGUAGUUUAGACGCAAGUUAUUCUAACUCGUAUGAGCAUGAGUUAUAUAUAUAAGUCCAGAUAAAAAAAACUCUUCAUUGUUCGGUAGUUAGAGGGAGACAGACAAAAAAAAUGGAUGGACCAAAAAAGAGCCUGAAUUUUAUAUAUAUAUAUAUAUAUAUAUAUAUAUAUAUAGAGAGAGAGAGAGAGAGAGAGAGAGAUAAAUUUGAUAGCUUUUUUUUCUCCCGUAGCAACGCACUGGCAUUUUUGCUAGUUAUAAUAACAAUAUAAAUAAAUUGUCCACGCAUGUGAGAUGGUGUGAGCUACCUGCUACCAUGGCUUAGCUAUAGUUAAAUUUAGUCCAGUGAAGAUCUGCUGAACAGAACAGUACGUGAGCUGAGGGAAGCAGUCACAAACAACAGAGAAGUACAAGGGUGCACAUGGACAUGCUUCACAAUUUCGAUACAUUCUUCCAAGCACUCCAACUGUUCAGCAACGUGGCCUGCAUGCUGCCAUGUCCAUGUUCAUCUUCAUGUCCAUGUAGACGAGAGUGGAUGCAUGCAUAUAUAUUCAACUAUAUACUAGUGAAGAAGCUUAUUGCUGUUUAUUUCAUCCAAUUAUUGCAAUGAUACACGUACGUGGAAAUGAACACACAGACACACGGUACAUAUGCUUGAUUUCCUCUCGCGCUGCACAGUCCAUCCAUACACAGAGAUCGACACACGCAGCCACAACAUCCAAAAGCUAGCAAAACCUCUCAUCUUCAUCCAUCAGACGACCUCCUCCUCCUUGCCGGCGACGACGACGCUGCCGAGGCGGACGGCGUUGACGUAGUCCCUAGGGCUAUGCGACGCGAUGCCGGGCACGAGCAGUCCAGUGGCACGGUAGAGCAACGAGACGGCGCCCUCCCUGUAAUCCUUGCCCUCCUUGGUCCACAGGAACGCGCCCUUGAACAGAUCCCCCCACGCAUUCCCAUACAUGGACAGCAGGUACCUCGGGUUGAAGUAGUUCGGGUUCGGCGCGUCGCCGCCGUUGGCGAUCUCCCGUCCCUUGUACCACCCGUCGAAGUAGACGCAUGUCCCGCCGUGCGCGAACUCGGCGACGGGCGGCGCGUCGAAGGGCACCCGGGGCACGACGUCGUAGCGGUACACCACGCGGAGCGGCUCCACGGGCACGUUCCCGCGCACGUACGCCGCGAACACCUUGUCGCCGACGCGAGGCUGCCCGUAGGUGACCACGGACAGGAGCCUGUCCAGGAUGUCGCGCUCGCCGUGGAACGCCAGCAGCGCCGGGAAGAUCGCCGCCAGCGCGCCGCCCAGGCUGUGGCCCGUGAUCACCACGUUGGCGUUCGGGUGCUUCUUCAGCUGCGCGCGGAGCUCCUCGCGGAGCGUGUAGUAGGCUAAGGGCUUGCCGGCGACGGCGUUCGGCGCGGCUUUCGGGAACGCCUUGGCGGCGUCCUUGCCGUCUUCCUCCUGGAGGCCGAGAGCCUUGAGGAAGCCGACGUGGACGUGGCCCAGAACGCCCAUGCCUAGCCAUGACAGGUUCACGUCCGUGGACCAGUCACGCAUGUUGAAGGGCUCCGUGCCACGGAAUGAUACCACUAUCACGCUCGCGUCGUUCGCUUUGUCGGUGAACACAAACGCCUGCGUCGUGUGGUCCCCCACGAACUCUGCAUAUAUAAUUUUAUAUACUUAUUAAUCCAUAGGUUGGUUUUGUGAUAUAUCAUUUGGAUUAUUUCAUUUCACUAGGUAAUGAACUUACUGUUCCAGCAGUUGUAGAACCCCACGAAGUGGAACUGCAAAUUAAUUAAGACAGACAGGAGAGAUGGAACCAAGAUCCCAUUAGAUUGUUGUUAACAAAUACUACAAAAGUAGAUCAUAUACAGCCAGUAAUUUCUUGACACUGUAUAACUAAUUAAUGUGUCCGGAUUAGACAGUGCGUGGCAAUUGGCGUCGUCUAUGCAUUGUUUAUGACGGAUUAGUUAUAUGCACGUGGUUAUGGAGUCAGUGAGAUAGUGACAGUCAGCAGUGACUUGUGGACGUUUUUAUAUUGGGCAGCAGGUACGUACGUAUGCACAGAUCUUGAUCGAAGAAACUGCAGAUUGCAAACACUAGCUAGCGUCCAACAGGAUUUGAUUGACGCAUGGAAGUUGUCUACUUGUCCCAAAAUGAUUGGUGUCCCCCCUUACAACUCUGCACUAGUGUUGCCGUCGGCACGCAUAUAAUUGUCAACUUGACAUAGCUUAUUAUUCUCAUCAGGACUCAUGCAUCAAGUUAAAGAAAAGUAAAUGUUCAUCUGGUACGUGGGCCAUAGCAUCAUUUUAACUGUAUGCAUGCAUGGUAAAUCAUGUGUUUCAUGAGCCACACUUUAGCUCCAUGUCCGCACGGCGUACGUUCCGUGAGAAUGGUCCGCACCCAACUUUUUUUUUUUUAUAAAUUAUAAGUCCAGUUUACCAGCAGUCGAGCUGUCCAGGAACAGGAAACUGAACGACGUUGGAAACUCGUUUGUCGUUGUCGUCCCAUGAAAGAAUCAUGUUAUCUUUAAUUUUGAGAUCCCAAAAAGAUUUAUUUACUAUGCAAAAAAUGUGAUUUUCUUUACUUUUAUUAUAUUCCAAAACAAAACAUUGAUUUUAAAUUUACCUAUCUUGCUUCUCAAAUUAAUUAAAAAUUCUGUAUGAUUUCCAAAUAAUUAACCACUUAAAGCUUAAAGCAGUUAGCUGCUAUUAUUCAGUAGUGUUUUUCUUUCACAACAAAUCAGCAAACACUUUCAAAUUAACCGUACCUUCCAGACGUUGUUGACGACGUUCUCGAUGUAGGCGGCGUUCUCAUAGGCGAUCUUGGCGGCCAUCAUGCUCACCUCGAACACCGAGAAGGUGCGCAGCCGGAUCAGCCGCCCGUUCACGUACUGCUGCUGC
rnacentral:lncRNA from 1 species